rnacentral:misc_RNA from 1 species
AGUUUAACAAAAAUAAUUCCUCCUCCAUUUCUAAUGAGCUACAAAUUAUUUCCUUGAUGUUGAUGGAUUCUUGCUUCAUAUGAAGCUUGUGGUUGCUAUUCUGUUCAUUUUGAGUUUGCUUUCUUAUGCUUUGGCCUUGUAUGGUCGGUGGGGCCUUGUGUCAAGUUCACUAAAUAAAUAAAACGAUGCUCGACUUCCACCCUUCUCUCAUUAUAAUGUAG